rnacentral:tRNA from 1 species
CCUUGGUUAGCUCAGUCGGUAGAGCGCUCCACUGGAAAUUAAGAAAUCCCGGGUCGAUACCUGAACCAGGCG